UAACUUGACAUUUAUUCAAUACUACUUUAUAAUGAGCAUGUGUAUUUUUUAUACACUAUGGCAAUAAAAUUACCUUGUAAUAGUUGUAUUGGACCCGAGGGCAGUACUCGGCGCCUCCACCAUAUUUUUUGAUUGAUACGGGGGCGAGUAAGGAUCGACAUGCAUAGUAAAGAUGGUAGCUUUGCUCGGUUAGAUACCACCGCUAAGAGUUCACAAUUUAGAUGCAAACGAUAACUUUGCUGCUGAAGACAAUGUUGCAUUAGCUGCUUAAUUUAGGCACUAUAACUUCAUUGCUAUAAGCACGGUUUAGGGAACGCCGGGUAACAGAAGUUCCCCCAAA
rnacentral:tmRNA from 1 species